AUCAAGGAGGAAUUCAGGAGAAUAACUACGGAGGGAGGCAGACACCCUCACCACAUUCAAGAGUAGGCUUAAGACAUUCCUCUUUGAUAAAGCUUAUAGUUAGGGCUGGAUCAGGUGAGUCCUGAACCAUCCCUUAGUUAUGCUGCUAUAGGCCUAGACUAUCGGGGGAUUUCCCAUGGUGCACUGAGCUCCUCUCUUCCUCUCUCUUUCUGCACUCAUUCAUGUUCCAUUAAUGCAUGUUACUAACUUCACUUCUUCCCCGGAGUUCUUGUGCUUUCUCGUCUCGCAGGUUCUCAUGGAUCCUGGUGGAGCCUCCUGCCAUGGUCCUGCUUGACUGCCAUUGCCAAUACUGUUGUUGCUGUGCACCUGUCUGUCUGUCUGUCUGUCUCUUUCUGCUCUCUCUCUCUCUCUCUCUCUCUCUCUCUCUCUCUCUCUCACCCCAACUGGUCGAGACAGACGACCACCCACCUAGAGCCGGAGGAUCUGUCCUAGGUUUCUGCCUUUUAACAGGCAGUUUUUCCUUGCCCUUGUCUCCAAGUGUCUUGCUCAUGGUGGUACUGUUGGGUCUCUGUAAUUAAUGUUAAAGAGUUCGGUCUAGACCUGCUCUAUUUGAAAAGUGUCCUGAGAUAACUUCUGUUAUGAAUUGGCGCUAUACAAAUAAAAUUGAAUUGAAUUGAACUACCAUUCCCCUGGAGCGAACCUUCAUGCACAAACUUGACGAAUACACACCAAAACUUAUUACACUGAUGAAAGCCAAGGGAGGUGCCAUGGGGAUCAAGAUGAGGCCGCUCCUGGACAGACUGAGUCAGGUGUGCUAGUUUUGCUUAUUCAUAUGUUUUACAGGGAGAUGGGCCUACUUUUUUUCUCACUCACACACACAUACACAUAUACAGCACAAGCCUCAUACUUGGUUUAAUGCCCUUGCACGCUCUGGUUCCAUGCACUUAAAACACAAGAGCAAACAUAUGCACUUGUGUUUUCACUUGACAGUUCAUUGUGUAUGUAUAAUGGUUAUGUUCAUGUUCUUAAUCUGUUCACAGAAACAGAGCAUUGAGAUGAGGCAUGAGAUUAUACUGUACCUUGGCGAGAAGGAAGAGGAACUUUUUGAAGACUGCUUGGAGGACAGACGAAGUGAUGUCAGUAACCACAUCCUCAAAAUACUCGUCGUCCAUGGUGCUGAUGAGGAUCCAGUCGAUGUCUCCAUCCUUGUCGAAGGCCAUGAGAUUUUGCCAGGGUGCAACAGUACUGCGAAAGCUUGCUCACUGCCCAUGGGACUGAUUUAUGCCCUUAACUUGGCAUACCCUCCCACUUUGCGCUACACUUUUGAAGUUUUCCAAAAACUCUUGCUGGAGCUGGAUGGCUUUAAACUGUCCCCAGAAGUAAACACCUUGAAGUUGAAGUUGCUUUCCGAAAUGCAUGUCAUGACUUUGUCAUCCUAGAGGAGAAAAAUGUGGCAUCAUGCAUGGACCCUUGUGAAGAAAUGCCAAGAAUUUGCAUUUAGUUCCAGUUCAUCUUGGUUUACUAGUGGGAAGUUGCCUGUCAUAAAUAUUUUUCAUUUUUUGUCAAAUAAGGUAUCUUUUAAUUACAGUAAAGAUUUUAUUCUUCAUCUAGAAUGGUUAGACACCUUAAGCUGUUCAUUUUUAAUUUAUUUUGUUGAUUUUAUUAAUGUUUUAAUUGCAUUCUUAAAAGUGCACUAGUCUAGAGGACUGGUUUAAAUGUUGAAUUUACACUGUUUCAGAGUGUAGGUUUGUAAGAUUUUAAUUGCAUAUUUGAGAAGUGACUAUGUUACCAGAUCGAUGUUGGAUGUGGUGUAUAAUGUGUAAUACUGUGUAUUUGUUGUUUACCAGUCAUACCCACCUUUCAGUAGUAUGAUACAAAUUUGGAUAUUUUUCUUUCUUUUUUAAAUACAUUUUGCUGGAGAUAUAUAUUUAAUUUACUGUUAGUACAAAUUCUAAUGCAGUACAAUAUAAUGCACUUUUACUUUUAAUGCAGUACAAUCCUUACACCACUGGUUUGGCUGCAGUUGCUCCGCCCAUCUCUCCAGCUGCAUGCCUGCACUGUUAAUGUGUGUGUUCCUGUGUUUCAUUAUUCUACACUUUCAGUUGUUUCUAUCCUGACCCUCUCCCUGAAGUUGUUUAGGGCAUGUUUGUUAAAAAUAAACAGUUUAAUUGCAUUGUAAUUUAGUUGUGUGAUAUGUGAUAAAUAUAUAUUAAAUGCAUAGAGUAUUGGUUAAAUUUAAAUUGGUAACAUUUAUCAAAAGAAAACUGGCAAUGAUUACCUAAUUUUAGUGAGUAAUGUAACGUAAUGCAACCAAGUAAAUUAAAAUGUCAAGCACAAGAAAAUAAUUAAAAUCUACUAAAUUACGUCAUAACAGCAAAUACUACAGAUAUAUAAAAUUUACUUAAAAUUUUGAGGAAAAUGAUGUUCUUGCCUAUGAAAAACAAGUAGACUUUACUUAAUUUGUUUAAAUACACAUAACUUAAAACUUGGAUGUAAUUAAGUAAAUGUUACUUAAUAUCUUCACAACUGUUAUGUUUUAUGGUAAGUAAAAUUUACUUGAUACUGGCAAGUUAGUGUUACUUGAUAUUGCAGCAUUAAAUUUUACUUGAAUCAUUUGCGUGCAAAUACUUACAAUAUAUUUUUUAAGUAAAUCUUAUGAGUUAUUUUUUUCAGUGUGAUGUGUCUGUGGGACGCUCCACCGCCGCCACCGGGCCCGCCGCUGCCACCACUGUGUAAUGUGCAUAUUUCAUAUAAUACUUUUUUCAAAAUUUUGUU
rnacentral:lncRNA from 1 species